UGGCCUCCCCGAGCCUCCUUAGGCAAUGGU
rnacentral:piRNA from 1 species